rnacentral:sRNA from 1 species
AAACUGCCCAGACAGUUGGACAGGACAUAGACACACAGAAGAAAAGAAGACAAAGAACAGGUAGGAAAAUUAAAAAGGUGACCAUGGGGAAGAAAGUGGCCAUCAUUGGAGCUGGCGUGAGUGGCUUGGCCUCCAUCAGGAGCUGUCUGGAAGAGGGGCUGGAGCCCACCUGCUUUGAGAAGAGCAAUGACAUUGGGGGCCUGUGGAAAUUUUCAAGUUUCUCUCUUGUUGCCCAGGCUGGAGUGCAAUGGCACAAUCUCAGCUCACUACAACCUCCGCCUCCUGGGAUCAAGGGAUUCUCCUGCCUCAGCUUCCCGAGUAGUUGGGAUUACAGGUGUGUGCCAUCACGCCCCGCUAAUUUUUGUAUUUUUAGUAGAGAUGGGGUUUCACCAUGUUGGCCAGGCUAGUCUCGAACUCCUGACCUCAGGUGAUACACCCACCUCAGCCUCCCAAAGUGCUGGAAUUAUAGGCAUGAGCCACCACUCCUGGCCGGCCAUAUCUUAUACACAGUGAUCUUAACCAAAGCCUCAUACUCAAACUUACUUUGCAAGACGUUGCUGAGGAUAGAACGCACUGCUGAUAUGGCUAUUGAGAGGAACACAGCCAAAGACAGCUAAUUUGUCUUUCUUGCUGCUUGAGGAAGACUUUAAAAUUUGAACCUGGCAUCACAGGUUGAUAAAACUGAACUGCAACAUGUGCUACCCUUCAAGAAAAAGAAAGGAUAGCCCAGAGGGUAGAGCCUCAGGCCCUGAGGGCAGAGGCCUGAGCCACAGCCUUCAAGCCUAAUGGAAUUUGUCCUGCUGGAUUUCAAAAUUGCUUGGGAUUAAUGAUUCUUUUCUUUCCUCCUUUUUCCUCCCAGGUUAAAUGGGAAUGUCGAUAAGGGUUACCCAUGCUUGUCCCACCAUUGUAUUUUGGAAGAAGAUAACUUGCUUUCUAGUUUCACAGAUUCACAGAUAGAAAUUUUGCCUCAUCCUGGUCCAUACCCAGAGUCUCAUUUAUACCUGAUUUAGAUAAUAUAUAUGAUGAUGAGAUUUUGGACUUAUGAAUUGAAAAUAUAUAAAUGAGAGUUGAGACUUGAUUUCAUGCUGCUAUGGGUUGAGACUUUGAGGAUGUUGGGAUUGGGUUAAUGUAUUUUGCAGAU